UCGCCUGUUUACAAAAACAUAGCCUAUAACUUAACUUUAGGUACAACCCUGCCCUCUGAAAUUUUAACAGCCGCGGUAUCCUAACCGUGCUAAGGUAGCAUAAUCAUUUGCCUAUUAAUUAUAGGCUAGCAUGAACGGGAUCACUCACUUAAAUUUAUUUUCACUACAAUUAAAAUUAAACUUUAAGUUAAAAUACUAAAUUUUUAAGAAAGACAAAAAGACCCUGAAAACUAUUAGAAGAUAAUUAGUUGGGGCAACUAUAGACCAUAAACAGCGUCUAUUAAAAUUCGAAUUUUAAAAUUCAAAGCACACAGUUACUUCAGGGAUAACAGACUAAUUGUAUUAUUUAGACCUAAUAAAUAAUAAAGAUUGGCACCUCGAUGUUGGCUUAUAAUUCCUUCAUAUAGUAACAUAUAUUGAUGGCAGCUUGUUCAUCUGAUAAAUAUUUACAUGAGCUGAGUUCAGACCGGCGUAAGC
rnacentral:rRNA from 1 species